rnacentral:tRNA from 1 species
GACUGGCUGGCUCAGUCAGUAGAGCAUGUGACUCUUGAUCUCAGGGUCAUGAGUUCAAGCCCCAUGUUGGGCA